GACGAACGCUGGCGGCGUGCCUAAUACAUGCAAGUUGAGCGCUGAAGGUUGGUACUUGUACCAACUGGAUGAGCAGCGAACGGGUGAGUAACGCGUGGGGAAUCUGCCUUUGAGCGGGGGACAACAUUUGGAAACGAAUGCUAAUACCGCAUAAAAACUUUAAACACAAGUUUUAAGUUUGAAAGAUGCAAUUGCAUCACUCAAAGAUGAUCCCGCGUUGUAUUAGCUAGUUGGUGAGGUAAAGGCUCACCAAGGCGAUGAUACAUAGCCGACCUGAGAGGGUGAUCGGCCAAAUUGGGACUGAGACACGGCCCAAACUCCUACGGGAGGCAGCAGUAGGGAAUCUUCGGCAAUGGACGAAAGUCUGACCGAGCAACGCCGCGUGAGUGAAGAAGGGUUUCGGAUCGGAAAACUCUGUUGGUAGAGAAGAACGUUGGUGAGAGUGGAAAGCUCAUCAAGUGACGGUAACUACCCAGAAAGGGACGGCUAACUACGUG
rnacentral:rRNA from 1 species